UACGAAGGGUGCAAGCGUUACUCGGAAUUACUGGGCGUAAAGCGUGCGUAGGUGGUUUUUUAAGUCCGUUGUGAAAGCCCUGGGCUCAACCUGGGAAUGGCAUUUGGGACUGCAAGGCUGGAGUGCGGCAGAGGAGACUGGAAUUCCUGGUGUAGCAGUGAAAUGCGUAGAUAUCAGGAGGAAUACCGAUGGCGAAGGCAGGUCUCUGGGCUGACACUGACGCUCAUGCACGAAAGCGUGGGGAGCAAACAGG
rnacentral:rRNA from 1 species